rnacentral:rRNA from 1 species
AAAUUGAAGAGUUUGAUCAUGGCUCAGAUUGAACGCUGGCGGCAGGCCUAACACAUGCAAGUCGAGCGGUAGCACAGAGAGCUUGCUCUCGGGUGACGAGCGGCGGACGGGUGAGUAAUGUCUGGGAAACUGCCUGAUGGAGGGGGAUAACUACUGGAAACGGUAGCUAAUACCGCAUAAUGUCGCAAGACCAAAGUGGGGGACCUUCGGGCCUCAUGCCAUCAGAUGUGCCCAGAUGGGAUUAGCUAGUAGGUGGGGUAACGGCUCACCUAGGCGACGAUCCCUAGCUGGUCUGAGAGGAUGACCAGCCACACUGGAACUGAGACACGGUCCAGACUCCUACGGGAGGCAGCAGUGGGGAAUAUUGCACAAUGGGCGCAAGCCUGAUGCAGCCAUGCCGCGUGUGUGAAGAAGGCCUUCGGGUUGUAAAGCACUUUCAGCGGGGAGGAAGGCGGUGAGGUUAAUAACCUCACCGAUUGACGUUACCCGCAGAAGAAGCACCGGCUAACUCCGUGCCAGCAGCCGCGGUAAUACGGAGGGUGCAAGCGUUAAUCGGAAUUACUGGGCGUAAAGCGCACGCAGGCGGUCUGUCAAGUCGGAUGUGAAAUCCCCGGGCUUAACCUGGGAACUGCAUUCGAAACUGGCAGGCUAGAGUCUUGUAGAGGGGGGUAGAAUUCCAGGUGUAGCGGUGAAAUGCGUAGAGAUCUGGAGGAAUACCGGUGGCGAAGGCGGCCCCCUGGACAAAGACUGACGCUCAGGUGCGAAAGCGUGGGGAGCAAACAGGAUUAGAUACCCUGGUAGUCCACGCCGUAAACGAUGUCGAUUUGGAGGUUGUGCCCUUGAGGCGUGGCUUCCGGAGCUAACGCGUUAAAUCGACCGCCUGGGGAGUACGGCCGCAAGGUUAAAACUCAAAUGAAUUGACGGGGGCCCGCACAAGCGGUGGAGCAUGUGGUUUAAUUCGAUGCAACGCGAAGAACCUUACCUGGUCUUGACAUCCACAGAACUUAGCAGAGAUGCUUUGGUGCCUUCGGGAACUGUGAGACAGGUGCUGCAUGGCUGUCGUCAGCUCGUGUUGUGAAAUGUUGGGUUAAGUCCCGCAACGAGCGCAACCCUUAUCCUUUGUUGCCAGCGGUCCGGCCGGGAACUCAAAGGAGACUGCCAGUGAUAAACUGGAGGAAGGUGGGGAUGACGUCAAGUCAUCAUGGCCCUUACGACCAGGGCUACACACGUGCUACAAUGGCAUAUACAAAGAGAAGCGACCUCGCGAGAGCAAGCGGACCUCAUAAAGUAUGUCGUAGUCCGGAUUGGAGUCUGCAACUCGACUCCAUGAAGUCGGAAUCGCUAGUAAUCGUAGAUCAGAAUGCUACGGUGAAUACGUUCCCGGGCCUUGUACACACCGCCCGUCACACCAUGGGAGUGGGUUGCAAAAGAAGUAGGUAGCUUAACCUUCGGGAGGGCGCUUACCACUUUGUGAUUCAUGACUGGGGUGAAGUCGUAACAAGGUAACCGUAGGGGAACCUGCGGUUGGAUCACCUCCUUA